rnacentral:rRNA from 1 species
AUUGAACGCUGGCGGCAGGCCUAACACAUGCAAGUCGAACGGUAACAGGAAGAAGCUUGCUUCUUUGCUGACGAGUGGCGGACGGGUGAGUAAUGUCUGGGAAACUGCCUGAUGGAGGGGGAUAACUACUGGAAACGGUAGCUAAUAACGCAUAACGUCGCAAGACCAAAGAGGGGGACCUUCGGGCCUCUUGCCAUCGGAUGUGCCCAGAUGGGAUUAGCUAGUAGGUGGGGUAACGGCUCACCUAGGCGACGAUCCCUAGCUGGUCUGAGAGGAUGACCAGCCACACUGGAACUGAGACACGGUCCAGUCUCCUACGGGAGGCAGCAGUGGGGAAUAUUGCACAAUGGGCGCAAGCCUGAUGCAGCCAUGCCGCGUGUAUGAAGAAGGCCUUCGGGUUGUAAAGUACUUUCAGCGGGGAGGAAGGGAGUAAAGUUAAUACCUUUGCUCAUUGACGUUACCCGCAGAAGAAGCACCGGCUAACUCCGUG